GACGAACGCUGGCGGCGUGCCUAAUACAUGCAAGUUGAGCGCUGAAGGUUGGUACUUGUACCAACUGGAUGAGCAGCGAACGGGUGAGUAACGCGUGGGGAAUCUGCCUUUGAGCGGGGGACAACAUUUGGAAACGAAUGCUAAUACCGCAUAAAAACUUUAAACACAAGUUUUAAGUUUGAAAGAUGCAAUUGCAUCACUCAAAGAUGAUCCCGCGUUGUAUUAGCUAGUUGGUGAGGUAAAGGCUCACCAAGGCGAUGAUACAUAGCCGACCUGAGAGGGUGAUCGGCCACAUUGGGACUGAGACACGGCCCAAACUCCUACGGGAGGCAGCAGGAGGGAAUCUUCGGCAAUGGACGAAAGUCUGACCGAGCAACGCCGCGUGAGUGAAGAAGGUUUUCGGAUUGUAAAACUCUGUUGGUAGAGAAGAACGUUGGUGAGAGUGGAAAGCUCAUCAAGUGACGGUAACUACCCAGAAAGGGACGGCUAACUACGUG
rnacentral:rRNA from 1 species